AUUGAACGCUGGCGGCAGGCCUAACACAUGCAAGUCGAGCGAGCGGCGGACGGGUGAGUAAUGUAUGGGGAUCUGCCUGAUGGAGGGGGAUAACUACUGGAAACGGUAGCUAAUACCGCAUACCAUCAGAUGAACCCAGAUGGGCUUAGCUUGUUGGUAAGGUAACGGCUUACCUAGGCGACGAUCCCUAGCUGGUCUGAGCGGAUGACAAGCCAAACUGGGACUGAGACACGGCCCAGACUCCUACGGGAGGCAGCAGUGGGGAAUAUUGCACAAUGGGCGCAAGCCUGAUGCAGCCAUGCAGCGUGUAUGAAGAAGGCCUUCGGGUUGUAAAGUACUUUCAGUCGGGAGGCGUUACCGACAGAAGAAGCACCGGCUAACUCCGUGCCAGCAGCCGCGGUAAUUC
rnacentral:rRNA from 1 species